GAAGAAGUGACCACAAAGUCCGGCGGACAGUGUAGGUUAGGAAGCACUAACUACUACUGCCGGUCUGAUCGGCCAGAUUCUUCGAGCCCACCCAGGUGCCCUCCCGGUCUCCUUCUCCCCUUCAUCUGCCAAAUACUACGGUGCCUGAAUCGUAGGUGCGCCGGCACUGGACUGGGGCCCGGAAAGGCAGCCCCCCUUCUCGGCUCCUCAUGCUGUCACUCCUGCCCAGGCGGUUCCAAACCCAGCUCACGAGGUGGCUCCCUCUCUGCCCCAGGCUGGGUGUGCUCCACGCUUCCCAGGGACUGACUUCCCAGGGGAGGGGAUGUGGAGAGAGCCCCUGUCCACGCCAGCCACCCCUUCGGAGAAGGUCACCCAGCCAGAAACGGACUCAUCUCUCUGCUUCACCGCCUGCCGGGAUAUGGUGACACUCAGACGCGGGAUGGGCGUGGAAACUCGUGGACAGGUCGGCCCGGAUGCGCCCGAAGAGCGUUCCCAGGCCGGGAGCGCCCUUGCUUUGGAGGAGUUUCCUUCUCUCCUCACCUUGUGCAUCUGGCCGUCCAUCAAACUACUUCGCGGGAGUGGUU